GACGAACGCUGGCGGCGUGCUUAACACAUGCAAGUCGAACGGUAAGGCCUUCGGGUACACGAGUGGCGAACGGGUGAGUAACACGUGGGUGAUCUGCCCUGCACUUUGGGAUAAGCCUGGGAAACUGGGUCUAAUACCGAAUACACCCUGCUGGCUGCAUGGCCUGGUGGGGGAAAGCUUUUGCGGUGUGGGAUGGGCCCGCGGCCUAUCAGCUUGUUGGUGGGGUGCUGGCCUACCAAGGCGACGACGGGUAGCCGGCCUGAGAGGGUGACCGGCCACACUGGGACUGAGAUACGGCCCAGACUCCUACGGGAGGCAGCAGUGGGGAAUAUUGCACAAUGGGCGCAAGCCUGAUGCAGCGACGCCGCGUGGGGGAUGACGGCCUUCGGGUUGUAAACCUCUUUCAGUGCCGACGAAGCGCAAGUGACGGUGGGCACAGAAGAAGGACCGGCCAACUACGUGCCAGCCGCCGCAGUAA
rnacentral:rRNA from 1 species